rnacentral:rRNA from 1 species
GACGUAGGUGGCGACCGUUAUCCGGAAUCAUUGGGCGUAAAGGGUGCGUAGAUGGCUUGAUAAGUUAGCAGUGGGAAAUCGAGGCUCAACCUCGUGGAAGCUGGUAAUACUGUCAGGCUCGAGUGCAGGAGAGGUUAACGGAACUCCAUGUGGAGCGGUAAAAUGUGUAGAUAUAUGGAAGAACAUCAAUAACGGCGAAGGCAGUUAACUAUUCUGUUACUGACGUUGAGGCACGAAAGCGUGGGGAGCAAAACGG